rnacentral:rRNA from 1 species
CAGUCGCCACGGUAAAACAGAGGGUGCGAGCGUUAAUCGGAUUUACUGGGCGUAAAGCGUGCGUAGGCGGCUAAUUGAGUCGGAUGUGAAAUCCCCGAGCUUAACUUGGGAAUUGCAUUCGAUACUGGUUAGCUAGAGUGUGGGAGAGGAUGGUAGAAUUCCAGGUGUAGCGGUGAAAUGCGUAGAGAUCUGGAGGAAUACCGAUGGCGAAGGCAGCCAUCUGGCCUAACACUGACGCUGAGGUACGAAAGCAUGGGGAGCAAACAGGAUUAGAGACCCCUGUAGUCCCUGUCUCUUAUAA